AUUGAACGCUGGCGGCAUGCCUUACACAUGCAAGUCGAACGGCAGCACGGGUGCUUGCACCUGGUGGCGAGUGGCGAACGGGUGAGUAAUACAUCGGAACGUACCUUAUCGUGGGGGAUAACGCAGCGAAAGCUGUGCUAAUACCGCAUACGCCCUGAGGGGGAAAGCGGGGGAUCGCAAGACCUCGCGCGAUUAGAGCGGCCGAUGCCUGAUUAGCUUGUUGGUGGGGUAAAAGCCCACCAAGGCGACGAUCAGUAGCUGGUCUGAGAGGACGAUCAGCCACACUGGGACUGAGACACGGCCAGACUCCUACGGGAGGAAGCAGUGGGGAAUUUUGGAAAAUGGGGGCAACCCUGAUCCAGCAAUGCCGCGUGAGUGAAGAAGGCCUUCGGGUUGUAAAGCUCUUUUGUCAGGGAAGAAACACCGGCUCUAACACAGUCCGGGAAUGACGGUACCUGAAGAAUAAGCACCGGCUAACUACGUGCCAGCAGCCGCGGUAA
rnacentral:rRNA from 1 species